UUGAACGCUGGCGGCAGGCCUAACACAUGCAAGUCGAACGGUAACAGGAAGCAGCUUGCUGCUUUGCUGACGAGUGGCGGACGGGUGAGUAAUGUCUGGGAAACUGCCUGAUGGAGGGGGAUAACUACUGGAAACGGUAGCUAAUACCGCAUAACGUCGCAAGACCAAAGAGGGGGACCUUCGGGCCUCUUGCCAUCGGAUGUGCCCAGAUGGGAUUAGCUUGUUGGUGGGGUAACGGCUCACCAAGGCGACGAUCCCUAGCUGGUCUGAGAGGAUGACCAGCCACACUGGAACUGAGACACGGUCCAGACUCCUACGGGAGGCAGCAGUGGGGAAUAUUGCACAAUGGGCGCAAGCCUGAUGCAGCCAUGCCGCGUGUAUGAAGAAGGCCUUCGGGUUGUAAAGUACUUUCAGCGGGGAGGAAGGGAGUAAAGUUAAUACCUUUACUCAUUGACGUUACCCGCAGAAGAAGCACCGGCUAACUCCGUGCCAGCAGCCGCGGUAAUACGUAGGGAGCGAGCGUUAUCCGGAUUUAUUGGGUGUAAAGGGUGCGUAGACGGACUUACAAGUUAGUUGUGAAAUCCCUCGGCUUAACUGAGGAACUGCAACUAAAACUGUAAGCCUUGAGUGCAGGAGAGGUAAGUGGAAUUCCUAGUGUAGCGGUGAAAUGCGUAGAUAUUAGGAGGAACACCAGUGGCGAAGGCGACUUACUGGACUGUAACUGACGUUGAGGCACGAAAGUGUGGGGAGCAAACAGGAUUAGAUACCCUGGUAGUCCACGCCGUAAACGAUGUCGACUUGGAGGUUGUGCCCUUGAGGCGUGGCUUCCGGAGCUAACGCGUUAAGUCGACCGCCUGGGGAGUACGGCCGCAAGGUUGAAACUCAAAGGAAUUGACGGGGGCCCGCACAAGCGGUGGAGCAUGUGGUUUAAUUCGAUGCAACGCGAAGAACCUUACCUGGUCUUGACAUCCACAGAACUUUCCAGAGAUGGAUUGGUGCCUUCGGGAACUGUGAGACAGGUGCUGCAUGGCUGUCGUCAGCUCGUGUUGUGAAAUGUUGGGUUAAGUCCCGCAACGAGCGCAACCCUUAUCCUUUGUUGCCAGCGGUCCGGCCGGGAACUCAAAGGAGACUGCCAGUGAUAAACUGGAGGAAGGUGGGGAUGACGUCAAGUCAUCAUGGCCCUUACGACCAGGGCUACACACGUGCUACAAUGGCGCAUACAAAGAGAAGCGACCUCGCGAGAGCAAGCGGACCUCAUAAAGUGCGUCGUAGUCCGGAUUGGAGUCUGCAACUCGACUCCAUGAAGUCGGAAUCGCUAGUAAUCGUGGAUCAGAAUGCCACGGUGAAUACGUUCCCGGGCCUUGUACACACCGCCCGUCACACCAUGGGAGUGGGUUGCAAAAGAAGUAGGUAGCUUAACCUUCGGGAGGGCGCUUACCACUUUGUGAUUCAUGACUGGGGUG
rnacentral:rRNA from 1 species